rnacentral:rRNA from 1 species
AGUGAACGCUGGCGGUAGGCCUAACACAUGCAAGUCGAACGGCAGCACAGUAAGAGCUUGCUCUUACGGGUGGCGAGUGGCGGACGGGUGAGGAAUACAUCGGAAUCUACUUUUUCGUGGGGGAUAACGUAGGGAAACUUACGCUAAUACCGCAUACGACCUACGGGUGAAAGCAGGGGAUCUUCGGACCUUGCGCGAUUGAAUGAGCCGAUGUCGGAUUAGCUAGUUGGCGGGGUAAAGGCCCACCAAGGCGACGAUCCGUAGCUGGUCUGAGAGGAUGAUCAGCCACACUGGAACGGAGACACGGUCAAGAGUCCUACGGGAGGCAGCAGUGGGGAAUAUUGGACAAUGGGCGCAAGCCUGAUCCAGCCAUACCGCGUGGGUGAAGAAGGCCUUCGGGUUGUAAAGACCUUUUGUUGGGAAAGAAAAGCAGCAGGUUAAUACCCCGCUGUUCUGACGGUACCCAAAGAAUAAGCACCGGCUAACUUCGUG